rnacentral:rRNA from 1 species
GACGAACGCUGGCGGCGUGCUUAACACAUGCAAGUCGAACGGAAAGGCCCUGCUUUUGUGGGGUGCUCGAGUGGCGAACGGGUGAGUAACACGUGAGUAACCUGCCCUUGACUUUGGGAUAACUUCAGGAAACUGGGGCUAAUACCGGAUAGGAGCUCCUGCUGCAUGGUGGGGGUUGGAAAGUUUCGGCGGUUGGGGAUGGACUCGCGGCUUAUCAGCUUGUUGGUGGGGUAGUGGCUUACCAAGGCUUUGACGGGUAGCCGGCCUGAGAGGGUGACCGGCCAUAUUGGGACUGAGAUACGGCCCAGACUCCUACGGGAGGCAGCAGUGGGGAAUAUUGCACAAUGGGCGGAAGCCUGAUGCAGCAACGCCGCGUGCGGGAUGACGGCCUUCGGGUUGUAAACCGCUUUCGCCUGUGACGAAGCGUGAGUGACGGUAAUGGGUAAAGAAGCACCGGCUAACUACG